AAUUCUGCAAUGUAUCUUUCGUCGUAGAGAUGAAAACUUUGUGACGAAAGGUUUAUGCAGCAAUAUAGGAACAGUUUUUUUUUUUGGAUUUUCGAAUAGGGAUAACUAAAUUGCAGCAGCAGUAAGGUAGGAAACCAGAACUUGUUGCAAUUCACGGGGAGAUCAAAGGAUGAUCCGCGGUGGUGGAGAUGAUGGCGGAAUUCGG
rnacentral:lncRNA from 1 species